UUCGUAGAAUAUGUAGGAGCCAAUAUGAGCAUCCAGGUUCCGUUAUUGGUUAUUGACCGGGAACAGUUCUAGGUCAUGUCUACAUAGUUCUCGAACCCGUAGGGUCCGCACGCUUAAUGUUACGAUGACAAUUUUAUUAUGAGUUUAUAUGUUUUGAUGUACCGAAGGUUGUUCGGAGUCCCGGAUGUGAUCACGGACAUGAUGAGGAGUCUCGAAAUGGUCGAGACAUAAAGAUUGAUAUAUUGGAAGCCUAUAUUUGGAUAUCGGAAGUGUUCCGGGUGAAAUCGGGAUUUUACCGGAGUACCGGGAGGUUACCGGAACCCCCCAGGGGCUUAAUGGGCCUACAAGGGCCCUAGUGGAGAGGAAGAGAGGAGGCAAGAGGUGGGCUGCGCCUGAAGGAAAUAUGCCCUAGAGGCAAUAAUAAAGUUAUUAUUUAUUUCCUUAUUUCAUGAUAAAUGUUUAUUAUUCAUGCUAGAAUUGUAUUAACCGGAAACAUAAUACAUGUGUGAAUACAUAGACAAACAUAGUGUCACUAGUAUGCCUCUACUUGACUAGCUCGUUUAUCAGAGAUGGUUAUGUUUCCUAGCCAUGGACAAAAGAGUUGUCAUUUGAUUAACGGGAUCACAUCAUUAGGAGAAUGAUGUGAUUGACUUGACCCAUUCCGUUAGCUUAGCACUUGAUCGUUUAGUAUGUUGCUAUUGCUUUCUUCAUGACUUAUACAUGUUCCUGUAACUAUGAGAUUAUGCAAAUCCCAUUUACCGGAGGAACACUUUGUGUGCUACCAAACGUCACAAUGUAACUGGGUGAUUAUAAAGGUGCUCUACAGGUGUAUCCGAAGGUACAUGUUGGGUUGGCGUAAUUCGAGAUUAGGUUUUGUCACUCCGAUUGUCGGAGAGGUAUCUCUGGGCCCUCUCGGUAAUGCACAUCAUUAUAAGCCUUGCAAGCAAUGUGACCAAUGAGUUGGUUACGGGAUGAUGCAUUACAGAACGAGUAAAGAGACUUGCCGGUAACGAGAUUGAACUAGGUAUUGGAUACCGACGAUCGAAUCUCGGGCAAGUAACAUACCGAUGACAAAGGGAACAACGUAUGUUGUUAUGCGGUUUGACCGAUAAAGAUCUUCGUAGAAUAUGUAGGAGCCAAUAUGGGCAUCCAGGUCCCGCUAUUGGUUAUUGACCGAGAAUAGUUCUAGGUCAUGUCUACAUAGUUCUCGAACCCGUAGGGUCCGCACGCUUAACGUUACGAUGACAUUUAUAUUAUGAGUUUAUGAGUUUUGAUGUACCGAAGGAGUUCGGAGUCCCGGAUGAGAUCGGGGACAUGACGAGGAGUCUCGAAAUGGUCGAGACGUAAAGAUCGAUAUAUUGGACGACUAUAUUCGGAGUUCGGAAAGGUUCCGAGUGAUUCGGGUAUUUUUCGGAGUACCGGGGAGUUACGGGAAUACGGGGAAGAGUAUUGGGCCUUAAUGGGCUUUAGUGGGAAGGAGCCAGGAGGAGGCGCGCGCCCCUCCCAAGCCCAGUCCGAAUUGGACAAAGGGUUUGGGGCGUGGCCCUCCUCUUCCUUCCUUCUCCACUACCCUUCUUUCCCCCCUUGACCUAGUUGGACUAGGAAAGAAGGAAUCCUACUCCCGGUGGGAGUAGGACUCCCUUGGCGCGCCCUCCUCCUAGGGCCGGCCUCCUCCUCCCUCCCUCCUUUAUAUACGGGGGCAGGGGGCACCCCAUAGACACACAAGUUGAUCUACGGAUCGUUCCUUAGCCGUGUGCGGUGCCCCC
rnacentral:lncRNA from 1 species